AGUUAAUAAUCCAAGAGGAAAAUAUGUUUUGAAAGCAUAAUUUAAAGGUUUAAUUCCUUUAUUAACUU
rnacentral:tRNA from 1 species